rnacentral:rRNA from 1 species
UACGUAGGGUGCAAGCGUUGUCCGGAAUUAUUGGGCGUAAAGAGCUCGUAGGCGGUCUGUUGCGUCGGCUGUGAAAACCCGGGGCUCAACUCCGGGCCUGCAGCCGAUACGGGCGGACUAGAGGUAGGCAGGGGAGAACGGAAUUCCUGGUGUAGCGGUGAAAUGCGCAGAUAUCAGGAGGAACACCGGUGGCGAAGGCGGUUCUCUGGGCCUUACCUGACGCUGAGGCACGAAAGCCAGGGGAGCAAACGGG